UGAGUGGCAGACGGGUGAGUAACAUGUGGGAAUCUGCCUUGUGGUUCAGGACAACAUUGGGAAACCGAUGCUAAUACUGGAUAAGCCCUUACGGGGAAAGUUUUAAUGCCAUAAGAUGAGCCCGCAUUUGAUUAGUUAGUUGGUGAGGUAAUGGCUCACCAAGACAAUGAUCAAUAGCUGAUCUGAGAGGAUGAUCAGCCACACUGGGACUGAGACACGGCCCAGACUCCUACGGGAGGCAGCAGUGGGGAAUCUUGCACAAUGGAGGAAACUCUGAUGCAGCGAUGCCGCGUGAGUGAAGAAGGCCUUUGGGUUGUAAAGCUCUUUUGUAGGGGAAGAUAAUGACUGUACCCUAAGAAUAAGGUCCGGCUAACUUCGUGCCAGCAGCCGCGGUAAUACGGAGGGUGCAAGCGUUGUCCGGAUUUAUUGGGUUUAAAGGGUGCGCAGGUGGUUUAUUAAGUCAGUGGUGAAAGACGGUCGCUCAACGAUUGC
rnacentral:rRNA from 1 species